GGGGCUCUUUGCCGCCCGCUCUCGCUUUGUCUCCGCUCGCCGCUUGCGCUUGCUCCAGGAAGCAAUCUCACAAAUAGAAUUGCAUCGUCGAUCGGCUCGGGCAGCUUUAUCUCGUGUUUACGGUAGAAAAAGCGCCUCAUUACUGCUAAAGAGCUGAGUGUUUUUUUCGAGAGCGAUUAACGUUUAUUUCCGGUGGCUGAUGAAGCUAUCGAGUAAGCUGCACGCAACGAGCUUAUAAUUAGGAUGAGCUUUGCCUUCCAUACUUUGACGUACGUGAAGACUGGAGCGUUUACGUGGGCUUCGUGCAUUCUUAUCAGCUCCACUGUCGCAGAACAACAAACAAACAUCGGCAUUGCGUAAUUUCGGAUCGACGGGGCAGGUCGACUCCAGCACUACAUUUAUUAUAUAAGCUACUUGACCCGCUGCUCUCGAUAGCCCGCGCAAGGCUGCAUUAACGAGUGACAGCUUUUUUAGGGAAAAAAAUUUUUCGGUAAAAAAGCCGUUCUUGCAUUGCAGACUCGAUAUUCGAUCGGCGCGGGGUCAUCGCUCUCCAAAAAAACAGCAGCGGCGCCGGCAAUUAAGUAGCGUUAUGUGCUCAAUGUAUGUAACACGCAUCAAUGUUGCGCGUGGUAGAGAGAGAGAGAGAGAGAGAGAGAGAGAGAGAGAGACGGCGAUAUGAAUUGCGUGGCCGGCCAGAGAACGCAUGCCGAUCACGUGAGACCAAUUUCGGCUGAUGAAACGGAAGCCGCUCGAGUUUUCAGGUCUACGCAGUAUUAUCAUGCCGCGGGCACGCUAUGAGCUUUAUAUCGAUGGUGUUCGGCGUUAUUGAGUCAUAGUUCAGUUGGGGUGGGGGUGGUCGUUAUUCGCUGCUACCGGGUGCCUUCUGUUAUUCGAUUUGUUUUUCGUUGCGCAAUACCGGACGAUAUUCACUCCGGUGGACUUUACUCUGUGUUCCUUGGCUUUGGCACGAGAGGAAAAUAACGCGAAACUUUGUUCUUUAUUUUUCUGUGCAAUAAUAAUAAUGCGUUCGAUAGUACAAUAGCGCAUAAUCAUCAGACUGCAUUCGUGCACAAGUACUUCAAUCAAGCUUCGCCGUAAAUGAAAUAUGUUGAGUUUUUUAACAAUAUAAAUCACCACCCACGCGGUGAAUCAGUUGAUAAUCCAUUAUUUCACACACAAGAAAGCUUUGAGAAUUGUCGGGUUUACCUGCAACAGUGACACAGGUAAAUCGACCAGAUCGCGAAAAAUUCACUAUGUUGCCGAUGUAAAUAGUUUGGCUGUAUUUCCAUUACAGAGAAUGUUCGGUUAACCAAGUUUCUCAGUGAGAGAGGAAUCGCGACCAUAUUCACGAGACCAAAAAUUGCUUCGGGAUUGUAUCGUUCAGUGAAAGACAUGGCCAGCCAGGGGUUGUCGUUUACUUGUGUUGCCACAAUGAUAACCUUACUUCUCAAGUGUUCUCUUAGGUACAAAUUGUUCAUUAGACAUGAAAUGAAAAAAGAAUGUUUUAAUUUGAAAAUAAAAUUUACCAUAAUCAGACGAGCAGUCAUAAGCUCUAGAACGAACUCCACUAUUGGUUCCUAAUCGCCCCCCUGCAGUUUUCAAAUAUUUGACUUAUUAACGGACUUAGCUGUAGCUCAACAAUCCUCGAUCAGUUCAUAUGUUCUCUACGAUCUUUACAAUCCAUUUAAAGCACGGGGUUGCAAAUUAAAUGUCACCAUCUUGGGAUUCUGGAACUCAUCGGACUUGUAGCCGAUGUCACAAGACGGUUGUGGCACCGGCUGCCGUGAUUUCAUAUCGGCUGACAAUGUCUUCAAAUAAAAACUCAUUUUUUUCUAAAUAAAUUACACAAGGAGUUAUCGUUAUUGUUAAAGUAAGUUUUGUAAAAACGGCAAAUUUAAAUUUUAAAAAAGAAAAGAAUAAUCAGUAAAUACUUCAGCAAUUAAAUCACUGGGGGGAAACAACGUGAUCUCACAUUCGCUAUAUGUCACAAUUUACGAUACAUACAGCGAAUGACGAAACAAAAACGGCGAUUUUAAUGAACGUUUAUUGAUAUUCUUUUCUGACAAUAGAAUCUCUUAUUGCGCGCAGUCGUCAUGAAGACAAUAAGUUAAUCAAUCGAUCAUAUAAUGCGGAUUCGAUGCACAUCAAUAUCAAAUAAAUACUGGGGAUUCAAGGUUCAUUUAACUAUGUUCCGGGGAAAUAAACUUUAGCAAAAAUGUUGCGUUUUAGCUCAUUUUCAAUAUUGCGACGUAGUUGUUGUAUCAUAACAGUACUACAAUGUUUCUGUAAUAUUAUGUGGCCAUUCAAAAUUAACUUUCCGCCUUGUUGCUUAGCUAUUGAAUAUCCUAAUUAAUUUACUUAUCGUAUAGCUAUUGUAUUCCUGGGGGCGAGUUUAAUCAAGUCCGAAAUAAUGUAUCAAGGCGCGUGAUAGUGCCGCACUAUAGCGAGUAAAACGCGUAUGAAAAAUUGUUUGUGGUUUUGAAUUUACGAUUUAGCAGUAAAGCAGAAACUACGUUCUAACCAUCCCGUAGAUAUUGUCGCGCAAAGAAUAAAUGAUAAGUCUUCAUAAAUAACGAGAAGGCGAAGUCACAAGUGGACACCAGAGUGAAACAUUGUCGAUAAUUCCAUCAAACUCGCAGACUUGAGCAUUGGGGACGAUUGAAUCGUCAGUGUUUGCGUUUCAGCAAAUCAUCCUUUGAAAACGUAUAGCCAAUAGAAAAAACCUUUUUAAUGUUCAUUGAGUCGAAAUUUCCGUUAGAUUGGGGAUGAUGAGAUUCCGAUUGGUUCUCGUCAGUCUGUUCAUCAUCAGUGUCCGGAAAUGUAGAAAGUGAUUUGAUCUUGGAUUAUUUCGUGUACAAAGGAACGCAAAAUGUUAUCGGUCUUACUUGCGACGAAAUCUAAGGUAUUUUUGCGUGUUAUUACAAAACUAAAUCGUUGGUUAGAUACGCAGCUGAUACAUUGUGAUUCACGAGAAUCAUUCCCAAUUGAAUUAUCAAACAGUUAUUUUUUUUGCAGACGACAUCGUUUUAAUAAGGAAUUUCAGUCAAUUUGGUAUUGCAGCAACUCUGAGGCACGCCAGCGACGAAUCUCUGCUUAAGCACCUCUUAUAAAUUCCAAGUACUACAAGCUGGGCGUGUACGUCGACAUUCGCUGUAACGAUAGCGUCAGUAUCUCCAACAUGUUUUUUCAGGCAAUUUAAAAACAGUGUAUACACAUUGCUUAGCCCUCUAAAAUUUCUACAAGUGCAUUUUUUUUUAAAUUCCGGACUAAUGACUUCGCGCCGUCCCGAUACCGAGAUUUGCAUCCGCCGACCACGUGGAUUGCAGCUUCGAUCUGUACGAUGUGUACAAUCCUUUCAAGAGGUGAGGUGGAAAAUUUAACGUCACCUUUCUCGGCGCCUGGAAGCGGAUGUAGGGCCACGAAGUCCAGCUGACGCAGAGCAAAUAUGACAGGAGAUCGAAUCUUCACGGCAUGACGUAGAAGGUGUCGUUCUUCGGGUAUGUUUAUUCGUUGCUCAUUUGAAUUCGCAAGGCACUCUGAUACAGUUUGAAUAUUUCAUAUCAUGCGGCACACCGAUUUUAGAUUGCAUUCUAAAAUAAGCUUAUUUCUUUUGGACACUUGUGAAUUUCUCUGACUGAUGAAUUAACUAAUAUGAUAAAUUUACCAAAGAGUAGAUAAAGACUUAGAAAUGUAUCGUUGGAGGAUCACUUUCAAGAUAUUGAGAAAACAGGUACAAAGGACAGACUGUCCAAGUUCGGCUUUAACAUAGUCAAGCAUCUCGCAGAGAUAUAUAAUGUACAGUAAGUUUAUAACUAUAGACGAGAAAACUGAAGACAGAAGACAGAAGAAACUACUUCAUGUUCCGAAGCCCACUGUUGAGAGACGUAAGAUUCAGGAGGUGUUGCGCACUCUAGUAACGAAAGUCUGGUACCUGUCCAGUGCAAUGACUAUCUUGAUUAUGGUUACACUAACUGUAAACUUUAGUUUUGAACUGUUUGAAAUCUAUUUUAUCCUGAGGUAUUUCAUAUCAUUUCUGAUAACGAUUAGAUGCUUAUUUCAACAAAGUGAACCAAUAAGGUAGUAGACGCAGCUAUCCCAUGAGGAAACGUAUAAUGAUAUCACAUCGUCACAUUGGAAGUUCGAGCAAAUUAGUAUAUACUUUUACGCAAGUUAAAUUGGACAAAGUUUAGUGUUGCAUCAUUACGUGGAAUUCUGAUAAAGACUGUACAGGGUACAGCUUGAUAAAACUAGUGAGAUUAAGUUAUUGACCAAUUUGAUUUAUUGAAAUGUGUAUAUUCAUUUUGCUGUGUAUUUAGCACUUUUUUACGUAUACUAUGUAGAAGUAUAAAAUACCAUCUAAAGUUAGUAAAGUUUGCCAUGACAUAAUCACAAAAUAGCAAUGAAAACUUGUGUAAAAGCAAAUAGGAAUAAUUCAAUUUUUCAAUGUUCAAAAAUUAUUUUUUUUUAAAUAGUACACAAUUUAUGUUAAUGAUGUAUUUUGUAAAGUUAAAAAAGCUAAGUUGUCCAUUGAGGAUGUAAAAAUAAUACUGGUAUUUUUUAAAUGGCGUGUAGCAUCGACGAAACUUCUUAUAUGGAUGAUAAUAUUUUACGUGAAUUUGCUUUAGUAAAUAUUGUAGGACCGUCACGCAAUGCUGUCCCAUGACCUGUAUAUUGCACAUCGCAUUUCCCUCACGCCGACAUUCGAGGAUAAUAAUAGCAUUACUGCUUUUUGAUUGUCGUUUUUUAUGAUAGUUUACAUUUGCCUGACAAUGAAAAUGUAUCACUGUGAAAAUCAGGGGUAUGAAAUUUUAACGCGUUAUAAGUGGAUAUGUAUAUAAUUUUUUGCACAGCUAACAAUUAAUCAUUUUUCUGUUAUACAAGUUAGUCGAUACAUAAUACCACGUAAAUGUAUCGAAAUGAUGAUUGAUUUAUGGCUUCGUCAGCGUGAUGUGACUGAAGAUGUGGUAAAUAAAUAAGUCAAAGCUUACGGUGGCAUCGAUUACCCCACUACCCUACCGCUAGGUUUCAAGUUUAAUAAAAAACGAAAAUAGCAUAUUAUAAUGGAAAUAACAUUAUUAUUUUUACUGUGUAUCUUCAGUAAAAUUCGCGGGUGCGAUGAAAAUGAUUUCAUACUGGAUUACUUUGUGCACAAAAAAGCUUCAAGUGUUAUCGGAUUCUCUUGCGACAGUGAAUCAGAUAAUCUCGAAUUGAUGAAAAAUUUUAGUCAAGUAGGCAUCAGGAGCAUUGUUACGAAACUAAAGAGCCCUUCACAUGUAAAAUAUCUAGUUACUUCAACAUAUUGGAAACUGGGAAUUUUCUUGGAUCUGAGAUGCUACGAUGGUUACAGACUCAGUUGGAUAUUUAAAGAAGCGUCAAAUAAGUGGUUGUACGGCGAGUCCCACUACUGGCUGGUACUGGGUUGGGAGUUGGAGGACGUGACGAGUAAGAUCAACGACGACGCUUUCACGCUCUCAACGGACUUCGUGAUCGCAGUGCCGUCGAUCCUCGUCAAUGACACUUACGAGCUCUACGACAUGUACAACCCAUGGAAGGACGGCGGGGGACAGAUCAACGUCACCCGCUUGGGCAGCUGGAGUCACACCGCCAAGCUCAGCGUUACUCUCACACAGAGCAAAUUUCUAAGGCGCGCUAAUCUUCACGGGAUCAAUAUGAGAGUUGCUUUCUUUGGGAGUAAAUACAAGCCAAAGAAUACGUCUAUUGAAGAGUACCUGCAGGAUUAUUCAACCAAAUCAAAAGAUGGAUUAUCUAAGUUUGGUUUUAUAAUACUGACGCAUCUGUCGGAAAUGUUUAAUAUCACAUUUCAUUUUGGCGAGGUGCAAGUAUGGCAGCCAGGAGAUACGAUCGGCCCGUUGUCGCGAGCGCUAAUAAAAAAUGAAAUACAAAUUACUGGUAGUCCAGUGGUCAUGACCUUGGAGAGGCUUGGUUUAAUAAAGUUUGUUUACCCCACUUGGCCGUUUCGGACUUGUUUUAUAUUUCGUAAUCCGCAACCGAAGGAAAUAAAGAUAAAUGAGAUUCUUCAUCCAUUUUCCACGAGGAGCUGGUAUAUGAUGCUUCUAUUUUUGGUAAUAUUUUUUAUCAUAACAGCUUUGACUUUUCGAUACGAAGAAGAGCUUUCACACUCCAUCUAUUCAAAUUCCUUUCUCACGGUCUUGGGAGCACUGUGUCAACAAAGCACCAGUUACGUUAUGGACCACCUGUCCACCCGCAUACUUUUUCUUUACUUGAUGAUAUUCAGCCUACUAACGUACAACUACUACUCAGCCAGUAUCGUUUCAGCCCGUCUCAAUGAGCCAAUUUUUAAGAUAAACGAUUCUCUGAAUGAGCUCGCAAAAACUAAAUUGAAGCUAGCUUCCGAGCCAAUGAUUUACUUUAACUUUAUCAUGCGGCGCGUACCCCCAAGAGAACUUGAAUUCUUCUACAAGACGAAAUGGCUAACUAUUCCUGAGGACGAUAAAUUUAUGUAUCCAGAAAAGGCAAUACGUUUAGUACAACAGGGUGGAUUUGCCUACCACACACAUCCAGACGUUGGAUACCCGCUUAUAGAUCGAAUCUUUAGUUUCCGUGAGAUUUGCGAGCUGAUGGAGGUCCACGUUCAACCAAAGAUCUUCGCUACUAUUGCCGUCACUUACAACAGUAGCUUCGUUGAGAUAACGAAGAUCGGAUUCGCCAAAAUGUCGGAAGUCGGGAUUCGAAACCGACAAUUGAUAAGGUGGACGUCAAAUAAACCUCGUUGUCGAAAAGAAGUCAUGAAUAUUUCAAGUACGGAUAUUUACGAGUUCGCACCUCACCUAAUUAUUCUGGCGUUGGGAAUGAUACUAGCCUUGGCAUUGCUAAUUGCCGAACUGGUCAUUCAAAGUUAUCAACAAUCGAGAAUGAGAAUGCAGAGAAGGCAUUGCUCUACUAUAUUACAAAUUGUUGAUGUAGUGUGCAAAAAUCGAUAAAAAAAAUUGUCGAAUCAUCGAUAAUGACUACGAUUUUGGAUUUGCUUUUGUUUAGGUCAUCCAUAACUAGAAACUAAAUAAUAAAAUGACGAAUGCACGCGAUGCUUUAUGUUAGACAAUACAUUCUAUUAUAGUCCAAUUGUGAGCGAAAUACGCAAAUAGUGAUGUCGAUAUAUUGAACAAAGAAUAACAACGUCUUGUGAACGUGUUAGAGUUAAUGUUGUCUAGAAACUUGUCUGUAAUGAAAUUUAGAUUGUCGUUUUUAAUGUUUUUUAUGAUUACUGUCUGUGGAAAUCAAGACAUGAUUGUCGAUUACUUUAUUGCCAAAAGUACUCCCAGUGUAGUUGGAUUUUGUUGUAAAAAUAUCACACGUAAUAUGUAUACAUUAUGAUGUUUUAAGUAUAAUAGCAUAUUUUGUUAUAACAUAAGAAAUUGUGUCUAUUUCUGUAGAAAAUUUCUUACUAACUAGGCGGUUUGAUGCUUUAGGAGUUAGAACAAUUAUUGAUAACUUAGAAAACCAACAAAAAAUAUAUCCAAUGAUGAAUUCCAAAUAUUGGGGGCAUCGAAUUACAGACUAUACGACGAGCUGCACCAUUGGCUGGUGCUAGGAUGCAGCCUUGAUACGGUCGUGAAUCUGUUAGAUGACAGUGCAUUCGGGCC